UCAACCAUGAGAGACCAUAACAUCACAGUCCAAACAGAGUACAUACCAUCAUGAUUUGUUGAGCCACACCCAUCAUCCUCAGGCUGCCGUUUCAGCUCCAUCUCUGUCAGUGGUGUAGCUGUUAGGAUAACAGAACAAGUAUAUUUCAGUGUAAAACAGUCUUGUAUUAGCUGAAGUACAGAAUCAUUGUGAUAGCUACGAGUGUUCCAGGUUGAAUGAACAGUUCAGUGUAAAACUGUCUUGUAUUAGCUGAAGUACAGAAUCAUUGUGAUAGCUACGAGUGUUCCAGGUUGACUGAACAGUUCAGUCUGCUACAUCCUUCUCAAACAGUUCAUGGUUAUGAUAUUUCAGUUCAGUGUGGAACAGUCUUGUAUUAGCUGAAGUACAGAAUCAUUGUGAUAGCUACGAGUGUUCCAGGUUGACUGAGCAGUUCAGUCUGCUACAUCCUUCUCAAACAGUUCAUGUAUAUGAGGUUUCAUUAUAUAAUAUAAGAUAUUAAAACCAAAUAUUGAGUUUUACCUUCAGUCAUGGUUCUGUCCCUCUUUGCCAAUUUUUUGUCAAAUGUCACCAGCUCUUUCAGGUCCUCUGCCUGCGUUGAACCAGCUCUUUCAGCUCCUCUGCCUGCGUUGAACCAGCUCUUUCAGGUCCCCUGCCUGCGUUGAACCAGCUCUUUCAGCUCCUCUGCCUGCGUUGAACCAGCUCUUUCAGCUCCUCUGCCUGCAUUGAACCAGCUCUUUCAGGUCCUCUGCCUGCGUUGAACCAGCUCUUUCAGGUCCCCUGCCUGCGUUGAACCAGCUCUUUCAGCUCCUCUGCCUGCGUUGAACCAGCUCUUUCAGCUCCUCUGCCUGCAUUGAACCAGCUCUUUCAGCUCCCUCUGCCUGCCUUGAACCAGCUCUUUCAGGUCCCCUGCCUGCGUUGAACCAGCUCUUUCAGGUCCCCUGCCUGCGUUGAACCAGCUCUUUCAGGUCCUCUGCCUGUGUUGAACCAGCUCUUUCAGGUCCUCUGCCUGCGUUGAACCAGCUCUUUCAGCUCCUCUGCCUGCGUUGAACCAGCAGUCUGAGUACUGAAGUUUUCUCACAAACAAAGAAAGGAAUAUCCUGUGCAUCUGGCAGAAUGGAGGGGAGGUUCCUGCUUCCCUGGAUUGUCUACAGUUCUGACAAACAUGGCCUGUGUCCCAAACGGUACCUUAUUCCCUUUAUAGUCUGCUACUGUAGAGCAGGGCCCUAGUGCACUAUAUAGGAAACAGAGUGCCAUUUGGGAUGAACACGUGGACUGUUUCUCGAAACUUCCCCUACCCUCUGCAUCCCCUAGCUCCAAUCCCCCAGGGACUGGAGUAGAUCUGAAAGGCUUGGGUAGGUAUCAGCAGUAUGGUGGAUGUUCCACCUAACCUAUCAGAAGGCAAGGUAGAGUCACUACCAUGUUGCUUAUACCUGUCCAACUCCUCCAGAUCUACAGGAAGUAUGUAGGCUGAAGUAAUGAGGCUAGGGGUUGGUUGUAAGGACCAGGCUAGAGAUCAGGCUAGGGGUUGGUUGUAAGGGGCCAGGCUCUAGGGACCAGGCUAAGGGGCCAUGCCAAGGCAAGGCUAAGGGAGUGGAGACCCAAGAGGGUGGGUAGUGAUAAUGUAGGCCAAGUUCUGAAGAAUGAAUGACAGAUUUUAAUACAUAUAGAGUUGAUUCAACCACGUACAACAAUGCAUAUAGCUGUAGGAUCUUAAUUUAAUCACUGUUUUGUUGCUGAGAAUUUUCCUGCUUUGUGAUUAACAUAAAUGAACUGAAAACCCACACUAACAUGUGAUCAUAUUAACACUAUUUUACAGUACUGCAGUACUUUAGUCCAGCUAAUAGCCUAACCACCGAUCAAGCAACAUUAUCGACAAGGGGAUGGUCAUCUGAAUGUGGUUAGGAGACUCAACAUUGAUGAGAAGAGGUCAUCUGAAUGUGGUUAGGAGACUCAACAUUGAUGAGAAGAGGUCAUCUGAAUGUGGUUAGGAGACUCAACAUUGAUGAGAAGAGGUCAUCUGAAUGUGGUUAGGAGACUCAACAUUGAUGAGAAGAGGUCAUCUGAAUGUGGUUAGGAGACUCAACAUUGAUGAGAAGAGGUCAUCUGAAUGUGGUUAGGAGACUCAACAUUGAUGAGAAGAGGUGAACUGAACAUGGUUAGGAGACUCAACAUUGAUGAGAAGAGGUGAACUGAACAUGGUUAGGAGACUCAACAUUGAUGAGAAGAGGUGAACUGAACAUGGUUAGGAGACUCAACAUUGAUGAGAAGAGGUGAACUGAACAUGGUUAGGAGACUCAACAUUGAUGAGAAGAGGUGAACUGAACAUGGUUAGGAGACUCAACAUUGAUGAGAAGAGGUCAUCUGAACAUGGUUAGGAGACUCAACAUUAAUGCCAUAGUCACUGAGGAUAAUAAAUCAAUAUUAGACUUCACUGCAAACGUUUAGAAGAAUUGAUACUAAUAUGACUCUUGCCUGAUUUAAUUCAAAUCAAUUAUUCAGCUCCAUUCCUGAUGGCAAUUCUGUUGAUGAGGAAUUCAAUAAUGUUUGCUGCGAAGAUUUGACCACAAAGGAGAUCAGAUUUGAUAUCAUACAGUUAAAAAAUACCACAUCCCCUGGUACUGAUGGGCAAACCUCUAAUUCUUACUUGCCACAUUUAAGAAAGCCAUCGAAAAACGAGAGCUUCCAGCGUCAUUAAAAUAAGGUGUUAUAACUCUUAUCCCUAAAACACAUGAGGAUACAUUCUUUCUUGAUACUUGAAGCCCAAUUACACUCAAAAACAAAGAUAAUAUACUAGCUUCCAUUCUAGCAAAAUGCAAGAUAUCUGGAUUUUUGAAAGAGCGUCAAACUUGAUGGAAUAUAACGAUUAAUUAGAUGACAACCCUGUAAUUCUAUUAUUGGAUUUCAAAAAUGCAUUUGAUACUGUUAGUCAUCAUGAGUACAUUUUUUAAACAUUGGGACGCAGGCCAUUUUUUAAACAAAGACCAGACAUACGCUCUACAGUGAAUUUUAAGACCACACAUACGCUCUACAGUGAACUCUAAAAGACCACACAUACGCUCUACAGUGAACUCUAAAAGACCACACAUACGCUCUA
ensembl:lncRNA